UAGGGAAUAUUGGGCAAUGGAGGGAACUCUGACCCAGCCAUGCCGCGUGCAGGAUGAAGGCGUUAUGCGUUGUAAACUGCUUUUAUAUAGGAAGAAAUAGUCCUUGCGAGGAAAGUUGACGGUACUAUAUGAAUAAGCACCGGCUAACUCCGUGCCAGCAGCCGCGGUAAUACGGAGGGUGCAAGCGUUGUCCGGAUUUAUUGGGUUUAAAGGGUGCGUAGGCGGUUUAUUAAGUCAGUGGUGAAAGACGGUCGCUCAACGAUUGCAGUGCCAUUGAUACUGGUAGACUUGAGUAUGAUUGAGGUAGCUGGAAUGGAUAGUGUAGCGGUGAAAUGCAUAGAUAUUAUCCAGAACACCAAUUGCGUAGGCAAGUUACUAAGUCAUAACUGACGCUGAGGCGCGAAAGCCAGGGGAGCAAACGGGAUUAGAUACCCCCGUAGUCCCUGAGCGGGCUGGCAAGGCGCAU
rnacentral:rRNA from 1 species